rnacentral:rRNA from 1 species
UACGGGGGGGGCAAGCGUUGUUCGGAUUUACUGGGCGUAAAGGGCGCGUAGGCGGCAUCGUAAGUCACUUGUGAAAUCUUCGGGCUUAACCCGAAACGGUCAAGUGAUACUGCAGUGCUAGAGUGCGGAAGGGGCAACUGGAAUUCUCGGUGUAGCGGUGAAAUGCGUAGAUAUCGAGAGGAACACCUGCGGCGAAGGCGGGUUGCUGGGCCGACACUGACGCUGAGGCGCGAAAGCUAGGGGAGCGAACGGG